UCCUUCUUCAACAAAGGACCACUCCUCCCAGUUGGGCAUAUCCCAGAUGACCAACAUUUCAAGCUUGGGGAAAGCAACUGCCACCGUGGAUCUGGGAUUUCCCUCCCUGCAGCCCACGAAUUCGGGCCCAAUCUUGGUUGCCCAUUUAAUGUGUUUGCGAAGUGAGAUUUAGUACUCCUACCAUGUAACUGGAAAGUUACAAUAUCAUAGCAAGUAGUUUUCAGUAAGGUAUAAUUUAUUCUAUUGCAGUAUUGUUCAAUCAGAUAUCACUAUUCGUUACAGUAAUUGAUGAAUGGUGUAGCCAUAACUAUUCCUUGUUUGGUA